rnacentral:rRNA from 1 species
AUUGAACGCUGGCGGCAUGCCUUACACAUGCAAGUCGAACGGUAACAGGUCUUCGGAUGCUGACGAGUGGCGAACGGGUGAGUAAUACAUCGGAACGUGCCUAGUAGUGGGGGAUAACUACUCGAAAGAGUGGCUAAUACCGCAUGAGAUCUACGGAUGAAAGCAGGGGAUCGCAAGACCUUGUGCUACUAGAGCGGCCGAUGGCAGAUUAGGUAGUUGGUGGGAUAAAAGCUUACCAAGCCGACGAUCUGUAGCUGGUCUGAGAGGACGAUCAGCCACACUGGGACUGAGACACGGACCAGACGCCUACGGGAGGCAGCAGUGGGGAAUUUUGGACAAUGGGCGAAAGCCUGAUCCAGCAACGCCGCGUGCAGGAUGAAGGCCAUCGGGUUGUAAACUGCUUUUGUACGGAACGAAAAGCCCCGGGUUAAUACCCUGGGGUCAUGACGGUACCGUAAGAAUAAGCACCGGCUAACUACGUGCCAGCCGCCGCAGUAA